AUCAUUUUAAAGGGAUCUUUUCACGCUUUGGUAAAUUGACAAAAUUUAAAAAAGUUGUUUCAGAUUCACAAAUUUUCGUUUUAGUUAUGAUAUCUGUGAGGAAACAGUAAUACUGAACAUUUACCAUGGUCUAAUAUAGCCAUUAUAUGCAUCUUUUGACGAUUUUAAAACCUAAAAAUUAUAAAGCGUUGCAACGCGAAACGAUUGAAUAAUUUGGAGAGUUCUGUUUUUGUCGUUAAAUUUUGUGAAACUAGGAAGAUUGCUUAUAUUAGGUAUAAAAUACGUCAAAUAUGUGUACUCGGCGGAAUAGCUCAGUAGGCUAAAGCGUUUUUACUUCAGGACUCUGGCAGGACUCCAGGGGUCACUGGUUCGAAACCUGGUCCGGGCAAUGUUCUUUUCCUUUUUUUAAUUUUAUUCUUGAUUUUUUACUGGAGCUUUUACGCUCCAAUGUUUACAUUUAUCGAUAUAAAGCAUUUAAUGAAUAAGUUAAAAAAUGCCAAAAUCUGUGAAAAGGCCCCUUUAAAGCCACACACCUUGAAAAUAAAAUAAAUUUAAGUACAAAUAUGAAACAUAUUUUAUCUAAGUGGCGGGGGUUAGCCAAUUAGAAUAUAUAUGGUGGUUGCAAGUUAGAAAUCCGUCUUUUUUAUGUCUCCCACUAUAGUAGUGGGGGACAUAUUGUUUUUGCCCUGUCUGUUGGUCUGUUGGUCUGUCUGUUGGUCUGUCUGUUUGCGCCAACUUUAACAUUUUGCAAUAACUUUUGCUAUAUUGAAGAUAGCAACUUCAUAUUUGGCAUGCAUGUGUAUCUCAUGAAGCUGCACAUUUUGAGUGGUGAAAGGUCAAGGUCAUCCUUCAAGGUCAGAGGUCAAUUAUAUGUUGCCAAAAUCGCUCAUUUUUGAAUACUUUUGCAAUAUUGAAGAUAGCAACUUGAUAUUUGGCAUGCAUGUGCAUCUCAUGGAGCUGCUCAUUUUGAGUGGUGAAAGGUCAAGGUCAAGGUCAUCCUUAAAGGUCAGAGGUCAAAUAUAUGUGGCCCAAAUCGCUUAUUUUAUGAAUACUUUUGCAAUAUUGAAGAUAGUAACUUGAUAUUUGGCAUGCAUGUGUAUCUCAUGGAGCUGCACAUUUUGAGUGGUGAAAGGUCAAGGUCAUCCUUCAAGGUCAAAUAUAUGGGUCAAAAUUGCUCAUGUAAUGUCACUUCUGCAAUAUUGAAGCUAGCAAUUUUAUAUUUGAAAUGCAUGUGUAUCUCAUGGAGCUGCACAUUUUGAGUGGUGAAGGGUCAAGGUCAAGGUCAAUCUUCAAGGUCAAACAUCAUAUAGGGGUCAAGGUCAUCCUUCAAGGUCAAACAUCAUAUAGGGGGACAUUGUGUUUCACAAA